UACGAAGGGGGCUAGCGUUGCUCGGAAUCACUGGGCGUAAAGCGCACGUAGGCGGACUCUUAAGUCGGUGGUGAAAUCCUGGAGCUCAACUCCAGAACUGCCUUCGAUACUGAGAGUCUCGAGUCCGAGAGAGGUGAGUGGAACUGCGAGUGUAGAGGUGAAAUUCGUAGAUAUUCGCAAGAACACCAGUGGCGAAGGCGGCUUACUGGUCCGGUUCUGACGCUGAGGCGCGAAAGCGGUGGGGAGCAAACAGG
rnacentral:rRNA from 1 species